GCCCCUCUGUGGCGGAUGUUAAAUAGUGGAAAGAGGAACGAAACCAGAUCAGUUGUAACACAGUGAGAUACAGGGACAAGACGUGUCAAGAUGAACUUCAUUCGAGGAACGCUAAUAAUCGUCACAUUUAUGGUGCUUCUAACCUGCUCUGUUGCGGCACCAGCUGAUGGGGACAGAGGACCCAAUUCUCUGGUUGGCUUCAGGAGCAGACUGGGACACAGGGGGAGACUUGGUGCUUUGACUCCUCACCUUGACAACCGGUUCUGGCACGACUUUGACAUUCAUGGCUACACCAGAUAUGGAUAAGAACAUCCUUGCGGAACAAGACAUAUGAAUCCUGCUGAAAAAUCUCAGAAUUUUUCUAAAUAUUAAGUUACAUUUAAAGUCUGGGCGAGAGGAAGGAUAUAUAUAUCUAUCACGACGAAGGGUUGGGAUUAGUUUAUAUUACUAUGAUAAUUCUUGGCAUCAUGUUUGUUCAGGAGUAUCUUCGUUAUGGUGAUUAGUUUAUUCGACCAACUCAGAUGUUUGGUGUGAAUAACACUGCAUGCUAACACACACACACAUAAACUAACACUCACACAUACACACAAACACGCACACACAAACACACACACACACACAUACACAAACACACAC
rnacentral:lncRNA from 1 species